GACGUAGGGGGCAAGCGUUGUCCGGAAUUAUUGGGCGUAAAGCGCGCGCAGGCGGUCAAUUAAGUCUGGUGUUUAAGGCUGAGGCUCAACCUCAGUUCGCACUGGAAACUGGUUGACUUGAGUACAGAAGAGGAAAGUGGAAUUCCACGUGUAGCGGUGAAAUGCGUAGAGAUGUGGAGGAACACCAGUGGCGAAGGCGACUUUCUGGGCUGUAACUGACGCUGAGGCGCGAAAGCGUGGGUAGCAAACAGG
rnacentral:rRNA from 1 species